AGAUCAAUUGGUGCAUAAUUGCAUUGCGGAGCCGAGUAGAUCAGUGAAAUGAGGAGAUCGAGACGAGGCAUGAAGUUUGAGCAACCGAAGACGGCACCAACGCUCAAUGACAUGACCUACGCUGUAUGCACAGCUCCGCUACACGCCACAAAAACGAACUUGAAAAAGUAUUGGUGCCUCUUCCGAAUCAGGGAAUAGUAUAAAGGAGUCAAACUAAAGUAAGAAAGAAUGUCUUCCUACCUGGUAUCAUCAUCACUUAAGAUAUUGUCGACCACAUCGAUGGCGUCAAUGGCAUCGAUCUCAUCGUCUUCAUUCAAGAUAUUGUCAACGGCAUCAAUAUCUUCUGCCGCUUGCAAUUGAUCCAUGUCAUAUUCGUAGUACCGAAGAUCACUGUCAGACCCAGCUUCUGCACCAUCGAGGUCUUCUGCCAGGUGCAAAAGGUAAGUCAUGUCGCCACCAUCAUCGCCAUCCAAACCUUCGAUGUACCCCAUUUCCAUGUUGAAUGUGGAAGUCAAGCACAAGAUACUAAGCUCGGGUGCCGCUUCCAGCCUCUAUUCAACCGACGGCACUUCACCCACGAGAAAGAUUCUCUUCGGCAUUCAUCUAGAAUACUGAUCCCGCCCAGCUACCAGUAUCACUUAAAAAUUUGACGGACUGCCCUGCGAUGAGACAAAAUCACUAGGCAUUAGACAUCAAAACUCACAACAGCCAAAUCGGGAAAGCCUCUGCGUGCACGACCUCAUCAGGUGUCUACAGAACCACAAAAUGCAUAUUCGAUUCCACUGCAACACAAUCCGAAUCACGUCAAUUGUAAUAUUAAUGAACAGUGAUAUCACUACUUAAUCUAAGUCGAGUUAUGUCAAUGGACCACUAACAGUAUCACAGGUUUUGGUACCGACGGUGAUAGUUCAGAAUCCCGCGGAGAAAGACAAGUGUGUCGCAAGCCUGGCAUGGCUCAAGCCACACUACUGUACCACUCAGCAUCCUCCGACACUCUGCGUGAAUGCAUGAAUGUAAGAACCUUACAGUUCACUUUUGCUCCAAGGCUAACUUUUGAGGUUUGCUCGUGUUAAUGACCAAGAUCGACGCUGAAGAUGUCUCUGCCCUACCAGAACUCCUCAACAUACUUGCUGGACAGGAAAUUUAGUGCCCUACUAGCUUGGUUGAUGCAAACUUUUACUAGAAAAGGACAUAUUAACUGACUUACAGUACUCCGGAUACAUCCUUGCAAGUCACCAGUCACAUAGUAUUACAAGAUAAGUAUACAAGAGACACGAUUUCUUAAGCUUUCACUACCCUUCAGAACCGUGCUCCACAUUGCUCAAUUGCAUGCCAUUCAUACAAAGUGCGAGGGUUCCAGGUCAGUAACUAUUGUCAUCCUACGAACUCUACACCGGGCAGAUUCACUUAAGAGUACUACAGUGUGCUGUGUUCGUCAACUAGUUGAACUAGAUCGGCUCCGGCUCCAAAAAAAAGCAACGUAACUCGGUUAUAACUGAUGCGCUACUCCCCUUGAUAAACCGAAGAGAAAGGAAAGACGGCAAAGACACCCAUAGAAUGAAGGACGGCAUCCUAUCCCACCCUACUCCCAUGCUAUUAGUUCCAGGUUCCAUCGCGCACACCAACAUAGGAUACUCCAUUACAAUGCUCUUUUGUCCUUUCUCCAGGUUCGCGUAAGCAAUAAGGCCCUACCUUUCUCCCGCUCCCGUGAGUGGCUGGAUAAUGGAAGCAGACCACCCGAGACAUAACCGCCAGGACCAGAUUCCUCUCCUUCCACCGCGCGAUGUAUUCUACAGCAUCACUAUGCUACCCCUCGGUAGUAUUGCUCAAAGCCCCCUCGUAGCACACAUGCAUGCCCCCCCCUUGAGCUCGACACAGCGGUAGAUGAAGCAGAAAAUGUUGGCCACUUUCAACGCCUCGCAGAACUCACACAUAACCUUUCAGAAUGUACCUUGGUGGCAAAAAAGUCUGUCCAAGUACGAGAGCCUCUGAGCACAAGCCACGGCGCAAGAUAUCUACAGCGAGAGGAGGGUCGCGCUACCAAAAUUCAAGUGCAUUAAACGGCUCCCACUAAGUGACAGUAGUGGAUUGCCAAGUCCGUCCCUCACAACCGAAACAGCGUCAGAAGGAAUUUUUGGUGUAGAAUCAACAGUUCAUUCCCUUGAAGAGCCAUAACUAGGUCAUCGAAAAAGGAAACCUAUGAUUGACACCGAAGACAAUGGUUUAUCCACCCCGCCAGCAGCCUGCGAACCUUCCCCAAGUCAAAAAGAAAGCUGAAAUUGAAAGAAAGAAAGAAAUGGUCUACCAGCCCAUCGCUCUCAGCUAAAAUAAAAUUAAAAUCCUUGGAACAAAUACAGUUGCAGGGAGACGUAUGCCUAAAGGACUUCAAAGCAGAACCUCUUCGACUUCCUACGCGCUUUCCAAAAAGUCUCACAAACACCUCUUUAAUUACAGGUGAGUACGUCGAAGAGCACGCCGCGCGCAGGAAAAGAAUUCAGCGCUCACCAGCUCUCUCUCGCUGUGGUACGAUUCUCCUCUCAAACCAACGACGCAUACUUACGAAAAUUGUGUCAGUUUCGGAUCAAAUAUGACCGUGACGUCAAGAAGAUCCCGCAUUCACUCAACCACCUAUGCUACCGGUAUCGCCCUGACACCGAUAAUCUUACCCCCCGACCUUUAAUCUCCCGCUAAAAAAUAUCCCCGCGCACUUUGUCUCUGCCGCAUGUGCUCCAAACAAUGGUAGCCACGCAAUAUCUCAACUCCCCCCGCGAGCUCGGUAACAACGGACGUAAAGACGGAACGGAGGAGUCGGAAUAAGGCAAGGGAAUGAGGAGAAAGCGCUGGGAGCUAGCUUGCUAGCAGGGCUGGAUGGGAUGGUGUGGUUGAGAAGGAGAAGGAGAAGAAGGAGAAGAAGGAGGAGGAAGAGCGUCGUCGUGGUGGAGGUGGUGUGGUCAUCGAGAUUUCUGCGGCUGCUUUUUUCCUCUCUCGCUCUCUAUCUGUCUUCAGCGCCCCCUCACCGACCAGCCUGACACAUCGCAAAAGCGCCACCAUGGAAAUCGGUUGCAGGCACGGAAUCAUCGCCCGAGCCCUGCCGUGCCGCCGGCACCUUGCAGCAGCAAGUAGCAAGCGCCUCUUUCCCUCCCUCUUCCCGCUUUUGCUUCCUCAUCCCGGCGGUUGCUGCUGCUGCACUGCGAUGACGACGACGCGGUGGCUCGCGCCCAUCCUGUGCGUGCACUUGCGCACGAAAGGGGACGAACGGACGGACGAAACCACGACUUCGGCGACCGAUGGACGGCUACAUCGUGCCCCUGGCGGACGGAUGGGCGGUGACGGCCGGCCGGCUGCUGUCUCGUCCCAGAGUCAGGAGGACAUGAAACCCACAGUUCGAGGUGUCUGAUGUCUUUGACAUGACCCCAUUGGCGCCUCCUCACACGUUGAAUGGGCUCCCUCAGCCCUGCUGCCUUCCUUCUUCUUCUUCUGCCUUUCUCACUACCAGUAGUGAGUGGUCUUUUCACUUGGGAACGUGACACAACACACUGUUCCUUGUCUGGGAACACAGAGAAUGGGUGACCACUGUGUUAGGGCUUGGAAAAGGAGUUGUGCCUUGUGGGGUGGGUUAAGGCUUAGUUGGACUUGGAUGUGAGAGUAGAAGACACAGAAGUUCUUCUGUGGACUUUGAGUAUAAGAGGGGGAGGAGGAACUCAUCAUCAUUAAGGUGCCUCAAAUCUUGAGGCAUGGCUAUAAUAUAAAUACCAUUCAAGCAGAGAUGAAGCCAGUCAAGCUUUGCUUUGGAAAAGGUGUGUGUUUCCACUUGGGCCACAAGGUCUAACUUGGUUCCCAGUUUGUAUGGCUGGCUGGCUGGCUGGCUUGCUUGCUUGCUGGGUUUCGUCACACUCUGGGUGCCCAGGACAGUUCCACACAUGAGACUGGAUGCGUGUAAAGGGGCCCAGAACAUGGACUCAGUAUGUAUGUGCCAAUGUCGGUUUGAAGUGGAGGUGAUCGUGUGGAGUCAUGGGAGUGGACAUCCAAGUAGUAUAUGGCAUUAUUGCUCCUUUGGUGACAUAAUGAAUAGGAAAAAUACAUUAUUUUUUUUGAAAAUGCCAGUCCAAAGGGGAAUGAUAUGCAUCCAAAAUACAGGUCUACAGUAUCAUUCCUUUAUGAUCUCACAUUCUCUUUCUCUUUAUCUCUAAGCUCAGGCAGUUUUGUCCUCUGAAAAAGUAGUCAUGGCAGCCAACCUGUGGGAGGUUUGGGUUUUAUCUUUUGUAUCCACAUCAUCUGUCACAAAAAACAAUUUAAAAAAAUAGGGGAAAAUAGGGCAACAGUACUGCAAGGAAAUUGAUUACUUGGGCAUGAGCAACCCCACUGCAUCCACUAAUUCCAUCACCAUGACCUUGCUACUACUACCUUUAGCCCCAAGCUCAUUAAAGUUGCCACAUAGUACAGGUCUGAAAAAGUAGCUUGAAGUUAAAACAAGGUUUAUCCAGCAGCACAACUGACACCACCCCCACCAUGAUGGGAGCCACAGGGUGAAAAUUAGGGCAGGCAAGAGAAGAAGCUUCAGUUGGGCCAUUCCAGACAAACCUCCCUCUCAAGGCAAUUCAGUCUGUGUGUUUUUUAUACCAUGUGCUCCAGGGUUACUUUUUUUCCCCCACUUUCAGGCCCAAGCUUGUGCUUUGCUGGGUUGGUUCUUGAAAGAACAGGAAUGUCAGGUAGAUCAUAUUAUUCCAUAUUAUAUAUUACAAUCAGGCAGCAAAGCAGGAGGAAAUCUCUGCCAAAAACAGGACCCCAGAUGCCCAUGAAAUUUGUUUUUAACUUCUUAAAAUUGUGCACCAGGUACAGACCUUGUUUAGUGUAAAAUAAAACAUCAAAAAGUAAAAAAGUACAAAUUAAAAAUCUUGCCAAUCCCCUCUCUGUCUGAACUGACCAUUCCCCAAAAUAAGUCUUUGCACAACCUCUUAUUCCAUAUCAAAUCCAUAUGCUUAAAGGUACACUGGAAUUGUAUAUGCUUAAAAUCCAUAUGGUGCAUUGUAUUCCCCACAAGAGCAGCAGGUAUGGUUAUGGAUGAACGUUCUUCAAGCGUAACAUAUUCCAACGAAAGUAUGUUUGUGCAUUAGUGGGUUUACAUAUAUAUAUAUAUAUAUAUAUUUUAGAGGAAAAAACAAUGGGAACAAAGAAUCUGAUGAAAAUAACCAAGAAUGAGACAGAGAGAGAGGCAGAGCAACAAGGGUAAGGAAACGGGCAGCGCUGAUUGGAUAGAGAGCGAAAGGCACGACAACCCAACAACGAUAACCCCCCUCCCACCGCCCUCCUUUUCCAGCUAAAAAGGCUCCCUAAAAAACCAAUGCUCGGUCAGCCCAGAUAAAUCACGUGUCGUCAUUAGCUUCCAAAAUUAUUAAUAAAACAGACGAGCCCAAUUGAACGAGGGCUCGCUUUAAUCCUUUUUUCCCUUUCUUUUAUUCCCCUCUGCCCGGCCCGGCCCUGGUGCCACACCCCUCCCCCCCGAUUGGUGAAACGUGGACGCAACUCUGGGUUGAAUUGUGUCGGAUUGCGGAGCCCUCGCAACUGAUUGGCUACUCGAAGAAAGUUACUUUUGGACUAUAGCGUGCAUCUUUUCUUUUUCGCAUUAGCUUUUCCUUUCAAAAUCACGGGUCCAAUGACCCCCCCGCGCUGGAAAUAGCACCCACCCCACCCAGUCUUCCGAAUCAGCUCCGCCUACGCUUAAUGUGAUUACGCCUCCUCGUUUUGUUCGUCUGGGAGCGAGUUCUCGUCUCCAAUUCGUGCCGAAAAUCCCUCCCGAAGAUCGCCUUUUCGGUUACUUUCUCUCGGCUGAUCUUUUGCUGGCGACGGAAAUGGGGAGCUGUGUGAGCAGAUCAGGAGAACCAACGGAGGCUUAUCGAAAAGCCUGAGCUAAUCGAAGAACGCGGUUGCGCUUCAAGUUUCCCUGAAUUUUAUGCCCCCCACGAGGCUUUCUCUUGAUGAGAGCUCCGUGAUGGGGUUUGUAUUUAUGGGGCCGUCCUUCCAGGUCCUUCCCCAAUAUCGUAUCUCUCAAGUGCAAGUCUACUACGCGUCUAUUACGCGUAUGAACGUAUACUAUACGAUGGGGGAACACGUAAUCGCCUCCCGUGGGAGAGCAGCGGGGCUUUUAGGGUUUUAUGAGUAGGCAGCCAGCUGGACCCCAAGAAAGGACUUGCUGACAUGGAUGGUGACGUGGACGAAUUAUGGGCAGUGAGAUGUUGAAAUCAAUUUUUAUUUAUUCAUUUUAUAUUAUCUCUUUCCUUUUUCCUUUUUGUGGACGCAUGCAGAGGUUGACAUUCACAUUCAUAUCAUUUUCCCAAGAGCUGUGAAAUCACAGUGUGCUUUUUUCAUUGUGUGUGAUGGGGAUCUUUUAUCCACCCAAUCCAGUGGGGUAACAGAGGAAGAACGAAGUAGUCCAUGUCGUAGAUUAUUAAUAAAUCAACCCCCACCCUCACAUGCUCAGCAGCUCACAAUCAUGAACAAAAUUGACACUACAACUGCUGCUGCAAUGUAACUUCCAGGUUCCAGUUGCAUGCAUUCCCUUAGAGAUUGUGAAAAUGACCUUAGAGCAAUAAAGUAAGUAUACCACAUUCAUGGAGGGACAGCCAAAUCUAAUAUAUUUCCCAGUUUGUUUCCCCUUGCAAAGGAAUGAAUAUUCAUUCACAAGGGGAUUAUUCCUCCUUCUUAGCUUUGAUUAUUAUUUAUUCCCCAGGGUGAGGUGAUUGGUUCUGCAUGAGGCUGGCUGGCUGGCUGGCUGGCUGGCUGGUUGGCUCUCUCUCUAUGUUUAGUGUAGUGUAGUAGUGUGGACCCAAAGCCCAUUAUGGAGUUGGAACAGUCAUCUUCAGCAGGGGUGGGGGGGAGGGGGGAUGCCCAUGCAAUGGCAUGCACCCUCAGUGAAUGAGGAGGGAUGAGAGCAUGCAAUGGCUUUGCAUGGUUGUUGCUGACUCAGCCUUGGGCAAAUUCCACUGCUGCUUUGGUCCAGCAUUGCAUUGUAGUUUGGAUGAACGUCCAACGAAUGCCGUCCAUCUGGGGUGCCAGUUCUGUUCACCAUGUUCAUUGUGGUGGUUUUCUGUAUAACACUAGUGGAAACCCAUGCCAUCAGUGAAGAAAAAUAUUUAUUGAAAAUUAGAAUUGAGAGCUUGCCAUUAGUAAUCUUGCAAUACUACUCUCAACAAUCUGUAACAAAAGCACAUAGUUUUUAUCAUCUGUGAUUGAUCAAAAGUUGAGUUAUUGCUUCAUUUUGGAUGGAAACAAUGAGAUAUGCAGCCAAUUAGAGAUGGUUUUUGUCUCCUUGGGUGUGUCCCAUUGGUUUAUUCUACUAAGUUGUUUUGUUUAAGAGAUAGAAUGAUCAAGGUGGGCUUCAUCACUUGGAAGAAACUAGUGUUAUACAUUAUAUGAUUCCUUCAUUAAGAUUGUUUUUAUAAUUUAUUAAGAUAAAAAAAAAAAAAAAACAUCCAACACAAUGAAACUUCGUUCAAUUUUGAGAUUUAUUUUGUUUUAUUUUAUUUUUUAUCAUUUAUUCUUUACGUCUAAUUAAACCCUUCAUAUUUAACUAAUUUAAAAAAUUGGAACUACAAUCAAAGAUGUUAACUACAUGGAGACAUUUGAUUGCAUUAAAGGACAUGCAUUACCAAUUAUAAUUUAGACAAUCUAAGAUGUAAAUUAAUCACUUUGUAGGUAAAUUUAAAGUAUAUAUAUAUAUAUAUAUAUAUAUAUGUGUGUGUGUGUAGCAUUUGUCUAAAACCAAUAAAUGAUAAUGGUGUGAAUUAGCAAUAAAUUAUGAUUUAUUGCUUUUACAACAGCAUAUACAUGCAGAUUAGACUUGAAUGAAGACACUGUUCUCCUUAAAUUCUUUGUUCCCAACUUUCUGUACAAUUGAGCCAAUUUCACAAGGAUGUUAAAACCAUACUUACCCAACAAAUAUACUAUUAUUGAAAUAUUAGUUGUUAGAGUGGUGAUUUGAGAAGUGUUUCAAAUUCUCGAAAAUUCAUUGUAUACCCAUACAAUACACAGCUUGUUUAAUAUUUAUUAUUCUUAUUUCUUAAAUGUGUAAUAAUCUAUGUUUUACUGGAAUUUUACAACUUUGCAUUCAACAAUUCUUUUUUGCAUUUGAAGUAUUAGGAUAUUUCCAAAAUUUAAAUACAAAAUUUUCAAAUAAAUUAAUACAACACGUUUUGUAAAUUUGAAAAUAUUUGUUGUUUAAUAAAUUUCUAUAAUAAUGAUAACAAUAAAUGAUGCAUUGACUUUUCAAAAUUACUACACAUAUUACAUCAGGUUUUACUGCACAAUAGAAAUCAACCAAUUUCAAUUGCCAGACUUGAAGGUGAUAUAUUUCGUUAUGUUCUGUAUUAUAGAAUUUACAUAUAUAUAUAUAUAUAUAUAUAUAUAGAGAGAGAGAGAGAGAGAGAAGCUUUUGCAGACAGUAAUUGAGUAGGCUAUGCCACACUGGACUAGGAAAUGUGAUGUGAGAAUGAAGGUUUUGGGUCCAAUUCCCAGCACAGGCAAGUUAUCGGAGCAUUUGGUGCUGCUCUCUCUAUUUCCGUUUGCAUGAGGUGCCCCCUUUGUUUUAUUGUUUGUUGUAUUAUCUACAAAGAGAUGGAUAAUAAAUUAUUUGUAUCUCAACCAUAGAAACCCUUAUAAACCACACAGUGCUUGCAUUGAAUAGAAAAGAGGGCUUUGUUUAGUCUUCCCUGGCCAGAGAAGGAUAAAAAUAUAAUAAAACAAAAGUAACCAUUUCAUAUUCAGAAAGGGACCCACCCAUCCGUUUACGCGGUGGUGUUUUGAUAAGAAUCUGCAGGUGCCGGAAUCCGCUAAAUUUGGCCAAAUGCCGCUAAUCUUUGGGAUAAAGAUGAAAAGCGGAGCACUGACACACUUGGAAACAAACUCUGACGUAAUCCUCAUCUUUACAUUAGGGCUGUGAGUGUGUGUGUGUAUUGGCACUUUAUCCUAUAUAUUCUCAGUUUGUUUUGAUUUGUUUAUGAAGGAAACUGCAUUCUAAGCUUCGUUCCAGAGCUUCCUUCCUUCCUCCGUCCAAGCAGCGCAUCAAAAUGGCGUCGUCGUCGUUGUCGUUCAGUCGUGGUUGUGCUGGAAAGAGUGGCCUCCUUCCUCCUCCUCCGCCGCUUUGGAAUUUCUCCUCUUAAAGUCUCGCCGAAAGAUUGUCUACUUUUGGUGCGUCGGUGUCUGGAGUUUUCCGAAUAUGCUUUUGUUGUAUGUUUAUCGUGUGCCGUGACAUUUUUUUACUCUACUUUGUUGUGGAUCAAUCUGACCAGAGAGAGGUGAGUUAGUAACAAUGCCGAAUUCCCACAACAGAGUUUUAAUUAUUUUCUAAAAAGUAAAUACCCGCGCGAUCUUCAUGAUCCUGAAAACCGAAGAGAAUGUGAAGUUAGUGGAACUGAUGAUCAGGUAGAGACUGCGGCACAAUCCUCCUUUAAAACCAUUCUGCAAGUGACAAAAGGACAUGGAAGCUGUGAGCAACUUUUGAAUCAGCGGACUAAACCAACGAGCCAUCGAACAAAGGAGCAGUGAAUUUAAAAUAAAUGUACUUUAAAAACAACAUACAUAUAUAUAUAUAUAUAUAUAUAUAUAUACACAUAUAUUUAAUGUUUGAGGAAAUUAGGUUGUUAAAGUAGUGUAUUGUAAUUUGUAUUUUAUUACGCAUUAGUUAAUUAUUUAAUAUGAUCAAUAGUUUAAAAGAAAAGUCUGGGUACAAAUAGAUAAAUUAUAACUUUCAAUUAGGGGAUUAUAGAUUUGGGUUGAUUAGUGUUUAUGAAGUUUUUGGAAAAGUCGAAAUCAAGUUUGAAUAUAAUUGGUAUUGAGUACAGUAUAUGCCAGAGAAAUGUUUCUAAUAUGAUUUGUGAGUCUUGUUGGAUUUAACCUUUUUUUCAAUAUCACAACAUAUAAUUGUUUCAUAUCACAAAACGUGUAUAUAUACAUAUAUAUAUACAUACACACAAGAUAUAAUAGUUAAAAAACCCAAUGUAUCCCUCAAGAAUGUAAUUCUUUAUUUUUUAAAAAAAAACUUUACCAAGAUGCAGUUAUGUUAUGAUAUCGGAAUGAUUUUACAACACAAAAAAUAUUGAGGUAAUUUGAUUCAAAGAACAACCACUGCAGUCUUUAAAUACAAGUUCAUCAAUUUAUUAAUUCCAUCUUCAUUGCAUUUUUCAUCAUUAAAUUAAUGAAUGUUUUAGAAAAUUAUUGAAAUUGACUUGAAAUAUAAUUUUGAGGAAAAUCUUAUGAUUAAACUUGAACAGGUCUCUCAGGAAAAAAACAGCAAAAUGGAACCACUUAACUUAUGGAUGAAAUAUUUGAACGUUUUAAAAGGAUUGAAAGUCAAUCUCAAAUAAAUUCAAGAAAAUAAAUGAAUAUCAGAAUUCGAUCAUCACAAAUUUAGAAAAAAUCAUAAUAUCAUGUCUCAUUACUUAAUAAUCACCACAUUUAAAUAUUAUAAACGUAAUAAAGUAUGGAGUUUUAUUUAUUUCCUUUUUAAAAUUUUUAAUUUACCAACAUAUGCAAUUAAAAAUGAUUGUAUUUAACAUGCAAGCAAUUUAUUCAUUGUUAUAAAUUUCUAAAAUAUUUAAGCUUAAGUAUCAGUGAAACACAUAACCAUGUAUUGACUGACAUAAUACUAAUUCAGACCCUUGCUUCUGAAAUGUAGAAAUUGUAUGAGUUCCAUGCAUUGAGAAGAUCAGUUUUUAUUUAAAAAAUAAUUGCUGCAUUCUAAGUAGUUGAGCUGUAGCAAACCAGUCACUAGAACAGAGUCUGAAAGUCACAGUAGUUUACAACUUCAUUGCUAAUGAAACAGAGAUAUUUUCUACCAACAAACUUCUUAGAAAAUCAAAAUAAUAAAAAAAAUAAAUUAAAAUAGAACACGAUUUUGACAAGGAUGAGUUAGAAAUUAAGAAGAAAAAAAGAAAAAAAACAGUCCUCAAUGAAGAAACAUGUUGACAUAUUCACAAAAAAAGUAAUCAAUCAAAAGAAAUAUGUUAACAAAAAAAUAAUGUUAAAAUGAUUGAGGAUUUAGAAAAUGAACAAAAGUUUAAACGUCAUGAUAAAACUCUUGUACACCAUAAAUAUUGAGGUUUUGAAAUUUUAGAAAAAAACCAUCUGUCUAUUGUUGUAUCCUGAAUUAUUUAUCUUUUCAUUUGUACUGAUUUAGUAAUAUAUUACUAUGAUAUGAUUCCUCCUCUUCUUACAUUAAUUAAAUUUACUCACUAUGAAAUAAUAUUAUAUAUAUAUAUAUAUAUAUAUGCACAAAAAUCUUGAGCAGCUUGAGCAUAUACUUGGUUGGGUCCAUUUCAUACCCCUCAAGCCUACUAGUCCUUAUUUCGUUCAUGUGAUCUUCCACAAAUCUUAAACAAAGGUACAGGCACCAAUAUGGGUUUAAAAAUAUUUAUAACAAUAUAAAUUUUAUAAUAUUAUUAUAGACAUUUUUUGAUCUUAUGAUGUGCUUAACAUCCAUCACAUUUAGAUACAUGAUAUGCUUACAUUUCCAUUAACUUUUGGACUUUACUAGCUUUAUAUAAAUCUGUUUAAUUUUGAAUGAAAACUAUCUAAGAAGUUUUAGUAAGACUUGAAGUUUAAAGUAAUAUAUCAUAUAUUAUUAUGAGAAGCAUAUAGAAUAUCAACAUUCAAAAUGAAAUGAUAUAAAAAAAAAAUUUGACCCAACUUCUAUGAACAUAUUAUAUACUGAAUGGUACCUUGUCUAACUAAUAACCUUGGUGCAUGGAAAUUUUAUAUAAUAUCCAAGGUUUUAUUAUUUAUAUGGGAUCAUGUAAUUUCAAAGUUUGUUGUUCAUUUUUUCUUGUCAUUUCACAAUUGCAACAUUUUAUUAAGUGCAAUAACUUAUGGAAAAAACUAUGUAAAGGUUUUCUAUAUAUAUAUAUAUAUAUAUAUAUAUAUAUUUCGUCUUUUUGUUAGGAUCAUUUUUUAUAUUUAUCUCUUAUCUAAAUAUAGUUAACAUCUUCAAAUUAAUAUACACCAAAGAUUAUUUAGUUCUUUACAUUCACUUUAGAAAAUUGGCUCUCAUAAAAGUUGUACAAUUGGGUUCAAUCUGUCUUUUAAAACAAAAAAUGGAACUAUAAAAGAUAGAUAUGAAUAGUGAAGUAGAGUUGUGUGGAUAUAUGCUUUGUUUUGAAGAUGUGGAAUAAUGUUCUCUUAGGAAUUAAGUAGAAAUGAAUGAUUUUAGGAUUUUUUAAAAAUUAAAAAUUUAUAAUUAUAAGUAAUAAUAACUAUCAUUAUUUAUUUAUGCAUCAUUUUUUUCUAUUCACGCUCUUUUAUGAAGUGUUUGCAAAGAAUUUCUUAAGGUGGAAUAAUUCGCUUGAAGAAUAAUAAUGUAUUGAUCUCAAAUUAUUUGGUGAAGAUAUUACUUUAACUCUUCAAUGUUUUUAUUUUUGUUACAUGUAUAAAUAAUAAUAAGCUAAUUCUUGAACAAGAGGUUGAAGCAUUUGUCUAUUUUGAAUUGCAAUGAUCAAGUAGAUUUCAUUGUACCAAUUAUCAACUUCCAUAUAACUUUAAUUACCUAUUUUUUUGUUUUGUUUUUUGUUUUGUUUUGUUUUGUUUUUUUUUUUAUUUAAAAAUAUAAUUGAAGUUAUAAGCCACACUUAUUAUUUUACAAAUCAUAAAAUUUGAAUUCAAAAUUAGGAUUUUAUUUUUUAUCUAAUAUAUAAAAUAUAAUUAAAAAAUAAGUAUGUACAAAAGCUAUACUCCAAUUUUGUUAAAUGUACAUGUCAAUUUUGUUAAAACCACGCUUUUUUUCUACAAAACAAUAACUGAAUUUCAAAAUCAUGAUUGUAAAAUAGAUUUGAAUGACAAAGCCCUUAUUAAUCAAUUUCAAUAUGGAUUGAAAGAUAAUAUCAAAGAUUUAUUAUUGACCAUAUUAAGAGCAAAUUUAUUGGAGCAAUUUAUUAUUGAAAUCAUUGCUUGCAACUAUUGACUCUUUAAAAGUUAUCAAGAACAAAUAUUUGAUUGAAGAGAUACAAGUUAAGCUAUGGCAACACCUUCUAAGGUUUCAAAAAUUUAUUCAUUAAAGUUAGAAUCUUUACUAAUUGAUAAAAUAUAUUUUAAACCUCUCACUAAGCAAGAAAAGAUUCAACGUUGUCAAAAGAAUUUGUGCUUACAUUAUGAAAAAGCCAAGGAUGUUGUUCAAUUAUAAAAUGACAAGCAAAGUUGCCAUAAAAGACAAUAUGUCAAAAAAAAAAAUUCAACUAUAAUAGACACUGUAUGCUAGAAUCAUGUGCAACACCUAAUAAAGGUCCUAUGUUUUCUUCAAAUUCUUUGCCUUAUUUUAUAGUAGAUGUAUAUUUGGGACGUAAAAAUCAUAAAGUCUUUGUCUUAUGAUAUUUAAGAGUCUCAACUUGUUUUAUAGACAUAAGCUUUGUAAAAAAGUAAGAAAUAUAGUUAGUUAAGAAAACUAAACUUGUAAUUGUAGAAGUCAUAAAUGGUUGUUUGUUGUUGUCUAUAGAUAUUUUCCAUGAGACUAUUCCUUUAGAUGUAGGAACUAAAUAUCAUAAUAGUAUAGUAAUAUUUAAUGUGUCCUUUCAAUUCAAUUAUUUUAGGAUUAUCACGGUUAAAAAAAUAUAAACUUUAAAUAGAUUAGAUUUAUCAUAAUUUUAUUUUUCUUGUAGUUUAAUCCAAAAUUUUGUUAAUCAAGUAGAAAUACAUAAGUUUUAUACACCCAAAUGCUUAUUGGUAGAUAUAAGAGAUUUCAUACAUAUUGCAAACAAAAGGUCAUCUUUUGCUAUAUAUACCACAUCUAUUUUUGAUGGUAGAAAGACAUUAAAUAAUAUUUUUAGCCAUUAUGAAGAUUUCAAAGAUAUUUUUAAAAAGAAAAAUGUAGAUGUUCUUUCAGAACAUUGAUCCUAUGAUUGUUCAAUUGAUUUGGAAGAAUUAGCUCAACCACCAUUCGAACCAAUCUAUAGCUUAUUGUAAAAUGAAUUGAAUGCACUCAAACAAGACAUUGAAGAAAACUUGACUAAGAAUUUCAUAUACUAUUCAAAAUUUCCAACAUGAGUUUCUAUUUUAUUUGUGAAGAAAAAUAAUAGAUCACUAUGGAUGUACAUAAACUAUUGAAAAUUAAAUAAGAUCAUUAUUAAGAAUAGGUAUUUUUUACCUCUAAUUUUAAAACUUCUUAACCAACUCAAUCAAGCAAAGAUCUAUACAAUAAUAGAUUUACAAAGAGCAUACAACUUGAUCCGCAUCAAAGAAAGAAAUAAAGAGGAGAUAGCUUUUUGAACUAAGUAUAGACAUUUUAAAUAUAAUGUUAUGUCUUUUGGAUUCAUGAAUGUGCUAGUCGCUUUUCAAUAUCUCAUGAAUGAUAUUUUUUAUGAUUUUUUUGAUGAUUUUUUUUUUCUAAUAUUUAAACGACAUUCUAAUCUACUCUAAGAAUAUAAAAAUAAUAUUAACUUCAUGUUUGUCAUGUGUUACAAAAACCUAAAGAUGUACGAUUAUAUGCCAAGAUAGAAAAUUGUGUAUUUUAUACUACUCAAGUUGACAUCGUAAGAUACAUUAUUUCCAACAAAGAACUAAUCAUAGAUCCAAAGAAGGUCUAGACUAUCAUAAAUUGGAAGAAUUCAAGAACAAUAAGAAAUGUGCAAUAUUUUUUGAGCUUUGCUAAUUACUACCAAAUCUUCAUUAAAUUUUUUUUCGAGUUGCAGCUGUCACGGCCAUAAUCAUGUAAGCUAAUUAUUACAUAUAGAAAUAGGUAGAAAUAAGUAAAAAUAGGUAAAAGUAAGUUAAUUCUAUAAUAUUUAAUAUGGAAGCUUCCUAGAAACUUCUUAGAUGCUGCUUUGACUUCAUAGGUGUCUUUAAUUGACUUUUUGGAUUAGAAACGUGGUCAACAAGUUGGCCAUGUGCCACACAUAUUGUUAGCUUAAAGAUCAAGCUAACUAUGUGGCCCACACGUAGAAAAACUUGCCUUGUAAGUCAAGGCAUGUGCCCUACAAAGUCAACACAUAUUGAAGGUCCUAUAGAACGUCGCCACGUAGCUCUUAGUUAAAUAGUAUAUAUAGAGACAAGAGUGAAGGCUUCUUCACUCUUGUCAACUCCUUUCUUGCUUCCAGUCUAGUUUCAAGGGUCUCUAGUUUUGUUGUCUUUUGGCAAUAGCCAUUCCAGUUUCUCUUUCAAUAUACAUACUUGUUUAUUUAUAUUUUUUUACCUUUUUUUUUGAGUGAAGGCUCACUUGUUUGAAUUCCUUUUUCAUCAAGUUUUUGUCCUUGACAGAUUGACAAGAGUACACCUAUAAUAUCAGAGCUUUGUCUAAUCUUGAUUAAGAGUGGAUUACCCUUUUUUCUUGAUAAGAUAUAAGCGUAUUAGAAGUUGCAGAUUACCCUCUUCUAAACUGAUAUUGUCCUUAGUAUUUUUUUUGUCCGCAAGUCCUCUUUUCUAGUUGUCUUGAGCGAUAUUAGACAUCUUCUCUCUUCUAAGUGUUAUCAUGGCAGAACUUCUUGAAAUGAAGAGUGUAAUGGCUCAAAUGCAAGAGUAAUUGAGGGAGUAAAUGCUUGCAAUGCAUCAACUCAAUUUACCACCACAAGGAGCAACAAGAUUGGCAGGAAGUGAAGAUAUAGAAAUGGUUGAAGCUGCUUCAACAUCUGCACCAAACCAUGUCCUUUCUUCUAUGGUGGAACGCCCUUCAAAUGUUAGAGAACCAAGAAUUGUCCUACCAGAGAAGUUUGAAGGGACCAGAUCCAAGUUUCGAGGAUUUAUCAAUCAAGUGCAACUUGUGAUUGAACUUCAACCCCAAAGCUAUCCAACUCCAAGAUCACAAGUUAGAUUCAUUGGUACGCUUCUUUCAGGUUCGGCACUAUUGUGAUUUUCAUCUUUUCUUGAAUGACGAGAUCCAAUAUUGGAUAAUUUAGAGGCUUUUUUGGUGGAGUUUCGAUCCAUGUAUGGAGAACAUAAUGCAAUUUGUGUUGCAACCAAUAAGAUCCGUAUUUUACGACAAGGCAAUCGAUCAGUAACGUUAUAUGCUUCACAAUUUCGACAACUUGCAAUUGAUAUCAAGUCGGAUGAUGCUGCACUUAUUAGCCAAUUUCUCUACGAAUUACAAUAUGAGGUAAAAAUAAUUAAUUCUCAACUUACCUGAUCCUCAAACAUUGAGUCAAGCAAAUGACUUUGCUGUGAAGUGCGACAAUCACCUUUUUGAAUUCCGAUCUGAGAACCGUACAAGUGGACCUCAACGUUACUAUAAUUCAAUGGCAACACCAACACCUCUUCAACACAUACAUUUGGAAGUAGAGGAUAUGCAAAUUGAUGCAGUAUGUUUCAAACCUCUUACUGAGCAAGAAAAGACUCAUCGUCGUCAAGAAGGAUUAUGUUUAUAUUGUGGAGAACCAAAGCACACUGCUCAACAUUGUCCAAAGAAAUGACGCAAUUACAAAAUGAGGAGUAUGGCUGUGAAAGAAGAUAAUAUGUCGGAAAACGAGUUUGUCUAGCUACAAUAGGGACCGUGCGGCUGGAACCUUGCACAACUUCUAGUAAAGGUCCUAUUCUCUCCUCAGAGCCCUCUCCUUGUUUACAUUAAAUGUUAUUUUAAGACCUAAACAUUACAAAGUCUCUGCCUUGUUAGAUUCAGGAGCCUCAGCGUAUUUUUUAGAUGAAGAAUUUACUAAAAGACAUAGCAUAUCUUUAGUAAAGAAAACUAAACCUGUUCAUAUAGAAGUCAUAGAUGGUCGUCCAUUGUCUUCUGGAGAUAUUACUCACGAAACCCUUCCUAUAGAAGUAAUAAUCAAUGGUCAUAAUAGUUUUGUAGUAUUUAAUAUCAUUAAAUCUCCCUCUAAUCCAAUCAUUUUAGGUUUAUCAUGGUUAGAAAAAUACAGCCCUCAAAUUGAUUGGAUUUCUCGAACUCUUACUUUCUCUUAAAGUAUAACCAACAGUGUAGUUGAUCAAGUAGAGAGUCAUAAGUCCAGUUCAAUUAAACCUGUAUUUAUAGGUGCAAAAGCUUUCUUGCAUGCUGCUAUGAAAGAAUCACCAUACAUUAUUUAUGCUACACCCGUUUCUAUUGGUGAAAAGACUUCAAGUGGCAUUCCAAGCCAAUAUCAAGAAUUUUAAGAUGUAUUUGAAAAAAAGAAUGCGGAUACACUCCCGGAACAUCGUCCCUAUGAUUGCUCAAUUGACCUUCAAGAAGGAGCACAACCGCCAUUCGGACCAAUCUAUAGUUUAUCACAAAAUGAGUUGGCUGAACUCAAAGAAUAUAUUGAAGAAAAUCUAGCCAAGAAUUUCAUAUGCCAUUCUAAAUCUACGGCAGGAGCUCCAAUUUUAUUUGUGAAGAAAAAAGAUGGAUCAUUGUGGAUGUGUGUUGAUUAUCGAGGAGUCAAGAAGAUUACCAUAAAAAAUAGGUAUCCACUACCAUUAAUAUCCGGACUUCUUGAUCAGCCGAAUCAAGCUAAGAUCUAUACAAAAAUAGAUCUUCGGGGAGCAUACAAUCUAGUACGCAUCAAAGAAGGAGAUGAAUGGAAGACUGCGUUUCGAACUAGGUAUGGACAUUUUGAAUACAAUGUCAUGCCUUUUGGACUUACAAAUGCACCAACAGCUUUUCAACAUCUAAUGAAUGAUGUUUUUCGAGAAUUUUUGGACGAUUUUGUGGUAUGUUAUCUAGACGACAUCUUGAUCUAUUCUAAGAAUCCAAAAGAACAUGAACUUCAUGUUCGUCAUGUGUUACAAAAAUUAAGAGAUGCAGGACUCUAUGCCAAGAUAGAAAAGUGUGUAUUCCACACUAUUCAAGUCGAUUUCUUAGGUUACAUCAUUUCAAAUGAUGGACUUAUGAUGGAUCCUAAGAAAGUUCAAACUAUUAUAGACUAGAAGAUCCAAAAAACGGUAAGAGAUGUCCAAUGUUUUUUGGGAUUUGCCAACUACUAUCGGAUCUUCAUCAAAGACUUCUCUCGAGUUGCAGCUCCACUUACACGUUUGACUUGUAAAGACAAACUCCAAUGGAAUCAAGAAGCGGAAGUUGCUUUUGAAUCUUUGAAGACAACGUUUGUUUCUGCACCAAUCUUGUAUCAUGUUGAUUUUUCCAAAGCAUUCUUUAUGGAAACAGAUGCAUCGGACUUUGCUCUGGGCACGGUUUUAUCACAAAUGGGAACAGAUGACAAACUUCAUCCAAUAGCCUUUCAUUCAAGAAAAUUCUCAGCAGCAAAAAUCAAUUAUGAGAUCUAUGACAAGGAACUUCUUGCAAUUGUGGAUUCUUUUCAAGAAUGGCGUCAUUAUCUAGGAGGCACUUCUAGUCCAGUCACCGUGUAUACGGAUCACAAGAACCUCAAAUAUUUUAUGUCAGCACACGUAUUAAAUCAUCGCCAAACUCAUUGGAGUAUGUCUUUAUCAAGAUUCGAGUUCAUCAUCACUUAUCGGCCAGAAAAAGAACAAGGUUUAUCUGAUGCCUUAUCUAGACGUUCUUAUUUUGCACCAAAAGAAGGAAAUGCAGCUUUUGAGCAACAAAGAACGGUUCUCUUGAAGCCAGAACAAUUUCAGCUUCGAUCAAUAAAAUCAACAUUGACUGUUGAUUUAACUUUCCUUAAGCAAGUCCAGUUAAGUAUGUCUUCAGACUCUCUUCUUCAUGAUAUCAAGAACAAUUCUUCUAAAUCUCAUGAUCCCUCUAAAUUUGAAUUCAAGAACAACCUACUCUAUUUUGAAAGACGCCUAUAUGUUCCAGAAGGAGAAGCACGUUUACGUGUUCUUCAAGCUCAUCACGACUUCCGAGCAGCAUGACAAUUCGGAUAUAAUAAGACUUUGGAGCUGUUAUCUAGGGAUUUUUGGUGGCCUCAACUGUGGAAGGCAGUUAAAGAUUUUGUACAAUCAUGUGAUGUUUGCUCAAGAUCGAAAACUCCUCGUCAUCGACCUUUUGGACUUCUUCAGCCAUUAUCCAUUUUAGAACAACCAUGGUCUUCUGUUUCUAUAGACUUCAUCACGAUCUUCCAAUCUCAGGUUCUUAUGACUCUAUAUUCGUGAUAGUAGAUCGUUUUACCAAGAUGGCACAUUUUGUACCAUGUACAAAAUCUAUCACAAGUGAAGAAACAACUAAGUUCUUUUUUGACAAUAUCUAUCGCUAUCAUGGAUUACCCAAGGAUAUUAUAUCAGAUAGGGGAACUCAAUUUAUAUCAAGAUUUUGGCGGACUCUUUUCAAGAUUCUUAAAGUGGAUAUAAAACUAUCUUCGGUAUUCCAUCCUCAAACUGAUGGGCAAACGGAGCGUGUUAAUCAAGUUUUGGAGCAAUAUUUAAGAUGUAUCAUUAAUUACCAACAAGAUGAUUGGACAACUCUUUUGCUAUUGGCAGAGUUUGCUUACAAUAACACGGUACACUCUUCUACAAAACAAACACCUUUCUUUGCUAAUUAUGAUUAUCAUCCACGACUUGAUACUUUUGACUUUUCAAAAGUUGAUAAUCCUGCUGCAAAAGAUUUGGCAAUUCAUUUAUCAGAGCUACAUGCAACAAUGAAGGCGCAGGUAAAUGAGGCUCAAGAACAACAAAAGGUCAAUGCAGAUGUCUAUCGAAAGGAACAACUAUCAUUCGUCUUGGGUGAUAAGGUAUGGCUACUUCGUCGCAAUAUCAAGACCACUAGUCUUUGUGACAAGUUGGACUAUCGAAGGUUGGGACCAUUUUUUAUUUCUGCACAAAUCAAUCCACUUGCAUAUCGUUUAGAUCUACCAGAGUCAAUGAAAAUCUAUCCAGUAUUCCACGUAUCUCUUCUUGAACCAUACAAGAUAGUGGACAUACCAAGAAGACGACAAGCUCCACCUCAUCCUAUAGAAGUGGACAAUAAUAAAGAGUUUGAAGUAGAAGAAAUCUUAGAUUCAAGGCCGCGUCGAAAUAAAUUAGAAUAUCUUGUCCAUUGGCACGGAUAUGGUAUCAGUGAAUGCACAUGGGAGCCAUUAAAGAAUCUUGCAAAUGCAGCAAACGCGGUGGAGGCUUUUCAUCGACGACAUCCAUCAAAAACAAGAUGAAAACCUUCUUUAUAAAAGAAACAACAUCUAGGCAAGAUAAUAUGCUACUUUCAAUUCUUGUUCGUAGCUUCAUUGUAGUAGUGGCGCUCAGGAGAUGGGGAACCAACCAGCAGCCAAUUCAACUCAAGAGCCUUUAUUUGCUGACCUGCUGGACGAGACAUUACGAUUGUCACAACCCUCAAGACGACGCAAUCAAGAUGAAGAUCUUCAAGAACGAACUGUUCUUCCUCGAAUAGAUGGUGAGAUACAACGCGUUUGGUAUCAUGAUUUGGGAAGGAACUCCCAAUGUUUGGUGAUUUUUCUAGAGGUAGGAACAACUCCUGAUGGUGUUCCAAAUAUUCUAUUCGAAGGAAGUUACGAAGGCCUCAACAAUGAUCAAAUAAUUGGGUGGUCUUCCCGCCCUAGUAUGGAACACUACCGAUGGUUGAGGGGCCCUAUCAAUCAUCUUCGAAGAGAACAGAGAUCAGAGUAUGUGGCGAAUAUAAUUUGUCGCAUCAUAGAUUUCCUCAACAUAUGAUGACCGCUCCUCGUGGAACUCGUCCCUAGAAGGAGGGGUAAUGUCACGGCCAUAAUCAUGUAAGCUAAUAAUUACAUAUAGAAAUAGGUAGAAGUAAGUAAAAGUAGGUAAAAGUAAGUUAAUUCUAUAAUAUUUAAUAUGGAAGCUUCCUAGAAACUUCUUAGAUGCUGCUUUGACUUCAUAGGUGUCUUUAAUUGACUUUUUGGAUUAGAAACGUGGUCAACAAGUUGGCCAUGUGCCACACAUGUUGUUAGCUUAAAGAUCAAGCUAACUAUGUGGCCCACUGUAAUCGUCGUUUGACUCGGACUCAAAACACCAAGAUAUUUGAUCAGUAUAGGUGGGUUCGAUCUCGGGGAAAGACUCGUUGUAUGAAUUGGAUAUGUUAUGUCACAAUUGAUUAUGUAUUAAUUAUCUAAAACUUCCAAAGUUCUCUUCCUCAUCUCAAUUCAAUCCCUUCACAAUCUCUACAAUCGUUCACUGCCCUGCAGCUACUCAAUAUCACUGACAUUCCUGACAUCUACAGGAUGCUUAAUCUCUUUCCACAGUACUUCAAUUCUCAAUUCCUUUACUUUUAUUCAAUCUUCCAGUGCUACUAUCACAAUGCAAUAAUCUCUAUUAUCACAAUCACACUUUCUUUCUCCAAAUUAAUUAAUUCGAAUUCAUAAUUUUCAAUAUUUCAAUCACAGUUUCAGCAAUCCUUUUCUUAAAUCUAAUACUAAAGAAAAACACAAAAACAAAGAAAACAAAAGGGUAGCUCCAAGCUUUACCCUGGCUCACGACUAUCACAGUCUGGCCCCCAUUCCUUCUUCUUCAACCUCUUUAUCCUACCAAAAUAUGAAUCGUCAUUCAGCAGAUUCCAUAGGUUGUAAAACUUUGGCUUCUUAACCGCAUAUGUUCCUAACUUCCUACUAUUAACAACUAAUCAAACUAACCAUUCAUCUAAAUCUCAACAUUACUACUAUUUAACCGAUAACGAACCAAAGAAGUCAUUUAUACAUUCUACAUAGCCCCACUUCUUAGUGUACAGCGUCCUCGCAAACCACCUUGUACUACGUUUUACAAUAUCACCACAUCAUUGGCUUCCUCCAAUGUCUGAACCUCUGGUCCGCCUUGGUCCGUUUCAUCAUUUCCAUAAGUGAGAUUGGUUUGGACUUCUUGAGCUUCUUCUCCAACUUCCUCUCCCACUUCCUCUCCGUUCAAUAAAGCUGUCAAGUCCUCGUUAAGUGCUUCCAAUUCCCGAACCUGAGACUCCAAAAGCGCAAUUUGGGUGUCUCGCUCUUUCAGCUGCUCCUCCAGGGCAUGCACCUGUUUCUCUAAUUUCUAUAAAGAUGUACUUGCUGGAUUGACCUUUCCUUGCUACGUGGUAACUGUAAUCAUUUUUGCCUCCAAUUUGGCAAUCCUUCUCUUCAAUUGCUUGUUCUCCAUCUUCGAGCUCUCCGAUUGUCUCUGAAAAUCGUCCUCCAAUUUGGAUCUCCCGGCUUCCAAUUCCGCCACCCUAUUCUUUUCCUCUUGGUAUUGGUUCCGCAACUCCAUACACUCCUGCUUGGUAAGCUCCAUCAGUCUCUUUGCCAAUUUGUUCUCUUUGGCCCAUUCCGCUUGGGUCUCCUUGAAUUGGUGCUCUAAUCUUGAAUAUUUGAGAGCGUUCGUUACUGAAGCACGUUGUAAAUCUCCAAUCUUCUUCUUCUGAUCCUCAAUGAUCUUGUCUUUCUCCUCCAGUACAUGUCUAAGGCUGAACUCAUUGUCCAUUUUCUCAACGGCCAUCUGUAAUUGAGUAAUUUGUGCCGAGAUUAACUCCUUGAGUUCUCUUGCCUGCUGGCCAGCUCCCGAUAAACCCACCCGUUGAUAAUACUCUACCAGUACUGGUGGAAUGACGGCCAUAUUGGUAUUGGGACGACACAAUUCUCUAGAUGACAAGCUGACAUUGGUCCGUUCACAAUUUCUAGCUUGGCUGCACUCUGCCAUCGCCGCUUCCUCGACUUGUUUUGAUGGCAAUGGCGUUGACUCUACUUUUGUCUCUGUUGCUACAGCGUCUAGUCUCUCCACCAUUAAAGGUUGCUUCAGUUGAUAUCUAAUUGCUUCACACACGUAGUUGGAACAUAACAUCGUGGUAACCUUCCCUGUUCUUCUUUUCACAUCCAAUUCCGCAUGGAUUCUGGUCGCAACAUACGUUGCCCAGUUGAAGACCAUCCACUCUAGCGUCGCAAUUGCUGAAAACAAUAACCUCCUUACCAUAUACGUCGAAUGUCGGUUCAGCCCUAAUCGCUUCUUCACAAACCGCAUCCAUUCUCCCAGCUCCGACGUAAGCGCAUCCGCUGUCUUCCACCCUUGAUUUUUCUCAAAUGCUUUGUUUCCCGACUUGAAGUACUUUCUUGGAAUAAAAUCAGACUCUAAGUCUCUCGAUACCGGUAGCUCACCCAUGGGAAGAUAUAGAACCUUGUUCAACGUCACCUCAUCUAUACCAAUAAUUCUCCCAUGAACCACACUGGACUCGUCUUUCGGAUCAUAAUUCGUCACAUAUUCCGUUAACAAUGCUAUACUUGUUGGUGGUAGCCUCUGCGAAAACUUCAAAAACCCAUACAUCUGCACCGUGUGAAACUCUCUCUGUCUCCUUUGCGACCAAAAAAUGUCCAUAGCGACCGGCUCCAUGCUGGUCACUAUCACGCAUUCCAUUGGUGGCAAUGCUCCCUUUGUCUUGACAUUACGCUGUCGCUCCUCUCUCGUAGCUGUCCUCUUCUUACGCUCAAUCACCACUUUCGCUACUCACGAUAAUCCUCUAAAACCUGUGCUUAGCAACGUGAAUCAAGAAAUUACAAUGUAAACAAUGCCAGCCAAGAGCCCCACUCCUAACUUCUACCCUGGUUCUCCUCAUGAUAUGACUUAACCUAACAGGCCUAUAACACCCUAUCCUAUUAGUGUCUUCCUGACGGCUCACCUUCACUCAACCCGUCCAUAAUCUCAUCAUCACACGCUCUUCCCUUCCCAUCACAAGUCUUGCGCUGUCACUUCAAUACUAAAUUGGCUUUCUCUCUCCCCCCCCACCGAUAUAAAACCCGUCCCGGGUUUAUGUAGCAUACAGACGUAGCCGAUUCCCAUUUAUACGCGUGGUAAAUUUAGCACCCAUAAAGUCUUCCAAUUGGACUAAGCCAUUAGGAAAGCCCUCAAUGACUCUGUACGGCCCAUGCCACCGAAUAUGAAAUUUUCCUGGAAAAUUUUUAAAACGACUGUCAUAAAGCAGUACCAAAUCAUUGGGCAUAAAAAAUUUUGGUUUUAAUUUACUAUCAUAAUAAAUUUUCCGUUGCCUUUGAAUGGCCUUCUGUCUCAAUAGGGCAUUGGUUUGAGUUUCAUCCAACUGCUCCAAUUGUGCGAAACAAACUUGUAACCACUCCGUAUCCCCCAAUCGUUCCUCGAGUGCAAUGCACAAACUUUGAACUUCGAAUUCGAUAAGUAAUAUUGCUUCCUGACCAUAAACUAAUUGAAAGAGUGUGGCAUUAGUCGUAACUUUAUAUGCAGUACGGUAUGCCCACAAAGCGACAAACAAUUUAAUGUCCCAAUCCGUGCUUGCACCAGAUAUUGUCUUGGUGAUAAUUGUACAUAAUAUGCCGUUGGUCUUUUCUGUUUGGCCAUUUUCUCUGGGAUGAUACGGUGUCGUCUUGCGGUAUUUAAUCUCAUAUUUAGCAGUCAAUGCUUCAAUUAUACUAUUAAUGAAAUGGGUUCCUCGAUCACUGACCAAUUCUUUUGGAGAGCCAAACCGUGUAAUAAUAUUUUCAUAUAAGAAUGUGGCUACAUCACUAGCACUAUCAGAUUUUGUUGCCUUCGCUUCGGCCCAUUUGGUAACAUAGUCCAUGGCAACCAAUAUAUACCGUUUUUGUCCAUAGCGAGAGGUAGGUGCAAUUGGGCCCACGAAAUCAAUACCCCAUUUUUCAAAAGGUGCAUGUGCCAGAAUUGGAACUAACGGCAUCGCGGAUGUACCCGUAGGAUGACCAAUUCGCUGGCACGGGCCACAACGACGUGCAAACUAGUGAGCAUCCGCAAACAGUGUCGGCCACCAAUAUCCCGCAUGUAAAACUUUGCGUGCUGUGCUGUCGCCUGCAAAAUGUCCACCACAACUAUCCAAAUGACAUCCUUCCAAUAUAGUGCGUGCUUCAUUCUGAUAAACGUAAUAGCGUAAAAUACCAUCUUUUCCUUGUUUAUAUAAAGUUUCUCCAAUCAUAGUAUAAGGUGCGCUUUUCAAAACCAAUCUUCUCUUAAGCUUCUCCAUAAAAUGGAAAGAAAAAGUUUGAAAAGUCAAAUACUGUAUCAAUUUGUUAUAUUCCGGCGUAAUUAGGUCGACAAGAAAUAACUCAGCGUCAGGUAAUGCAUCAGGAAUGGGUUCAUUUCCCAAUAUAUUGGACAGUCGCGAUAGAUGAUCCACAUUGGCAUGCCACUUCCUCGACCGUAUAUUAAUAGUAAAAUCAAAUUCUUGUAAAAGCAAUAUCCAUCUUGCGAUGCGGCCACUCAACUGGGGCUUGUUAAUCAUAUAUUUUAAAGCGUCAUGAUCCACGUGGAAGACAAAUUUAUAUCCAAGAAGAUAAUGCCGAAACUUUUCGACAGAAUAAAUCAUUCCCAAAGCCUCUCGCUCAGUUAUAGUGUAAUUCCGUUCGGCAGCCACCAACUGACGACUUGCAUAAUAAAUAGGAUGAUCGUGGCCCUUGUCAUCCUUCUGGGUCAAUACCGAACCAAUCGCAACAUUAGAGGCAUCAACAUAAACCUCAAAAGAUUUUGUCCAACGAGGAGCAACCAAUAUUGGUGCAGAAACCAAUUUUUGUUUUAAUGUUUCAAACGCAACUGUACAUUCCUUGGUCCAAAUUGGUUCGAGGCUGUCCAGUAGUUGCUUUUUCAACAAAUUUGUCAAUAGAAUACAGAUAACAGCAAAUAGAUAAAUAAAACGUCGAUAAUAGCUAAUAUGCCCAAUAAAGGUGCGAACACCUGUCACUGUAUCGGGUAUUUGGAGUUCUAGUAUAAUUUUUAUUUUAUCCGGAUCGGUGGCGAUACCUGUUUCCGAUACGAUAUGACCUAAUAAUUUUCCUGAGGGUACCCCAAAUUUAUAUUUUUCUGAAUUCAAAGAAAUUCCAAAUUUAGCACAUUUACCUAAGCACCAGCCCAAUUUGUCUAAGUGUUCUUCUCUGGUGCUGAAUGUGCAGAAAUUAUCUAAAAAGAUUUCCAUUGAAACCCAUAGCUCAUCUUGGAAUGCUUGCAUCAUCAUCCUCUGAAAUGUAGCUGGCGCAUUACAAAGUCCGAAAGGCAUGACCUUAUAAGCAAAAGUUCUCCAAUUCGUAGUAAACGUAGUCUUUAAUUGAUCCCCCUUUGCAAUUUAUACCUGAUUAUAUCCGAAAAAACCAUCAAGAAACGAAUAACAUUCGUGGCCUGCUACUACGUCUAAGAUACUAUCCGUAAAUGAUCAAAGAAAGUAAUCCUUCUUUGUAGCAGCAUUCAACUUUCGAAAAUCUUGGCAAAUUCAGACUUUCCCGUUCUUCUUGGGAACCAUAACUAUCGACGAAACCCAUUCACUAUGUGGUACAGGAUAUAUAAAUUCCACCUUCAGAAGCUUAUCCAAUUCCUCCUUUACCAUCAACGAAUAUUUAGGAUUCAGUUGAUGUUGCCUUUGUCGUACUGGUGUAGCCGUGUCCUCCAAUUUUAUUCGAUGCUUACAAACUUCAGCUGGAAUACCCUUCAAAUCUUUAUAAAACCAAGCAAAAGCUGAUUUAUGUUUUAUAAAAUAAUCUGUCCAAAGCUCUUUAGUUUUACCUAUUAUACCAUCAUAAAUUUGAAUCAAUUUGGGAUUAUCCUUUGUGCCUAGAUUUAUUGAUUGACACUUUGGUCCAUUAAGAGCUUCAGCGGUAAUCUUCUGCUCUGUUUCGGGAUCUUUCAUAAACUCGGACAAAUUGGAGCUUUCCAAUUCGAGAUCUAUAGUACCAACUUGAUUAACAUCUCUUCGCUGCAUCCAGUGUGCAAUCAUAUGAUCUGAAUCAUCAAUAACGUUUGGAGGAACAAAAUAUUCUCCUGGUCCUCCACAAUGGUAAAUAUUCCUAUUUUGUACUGCAACUUCCCGUGCCUCGACAGCCUUUGAUUUGGAAACAACUAGUUCUUCUUCCGUAUACUCCUGUUUGCAGUCCGAUGUAUAUUCUAGACUGGUAAUUUGAGUUUCUUCGUGAUAUUGGACAGGAUACAUUUGGAGCACUAUUUUAUCCUUACCCUUUCCAAUUGUUAGCAUUCCACGACCCCAAUCGUUCCGAGCUUCAGCUUAAUAUAGCCACGGUCGACCCAACAAAAUUGGAUAUGACAAUACUGUGCUUUGCAAUCGAAAUACAAUAUAAUCAAUUGUGUAUGUAAUCCCCGCAACAACUGUAUCAAUUCCUCGUAAAGUACCCAUAGGUCGGACUCGACUUGAAUCUGUCAUUCGCAAAACAACUGUAGUUGGUAUUAAUUGGUCCAAUGCCAAUUCUUCCAUUGUAUCUACAUUCAUGAGGUUAACGCUAGCCCCGCCAUCCACUUGUACACCCUGAACUAAUAUUCCAUCAAUUGAUACAUCAAUAGUCGGCGCGCCUAGAUCCGGAUUCAAACUUACUUCACGAAUUUCUUUUUGACGAGUUCUUCGUCGAAUCAAAGAAGAGUUUAAGGUGUUACGAUAUUUUGGUGCUACUGCUAAUAAUUACUUUAUUGUGAUUGUUGGUUGAAUUGAACCUAAAUCCUUCAGAAUAUCAUAGGGUUCCAUAUUGGUCAUGAUUCCCAAUGUCUUUUUUUUCUUACGGAUUUCGGAUCUCGGUCCCCAUAUAUUGGUACUUCCAAUAUCAGGAAUUGGUACUUCCACGAUUUCUGGUUGCAACUGCUCCUUGAAAAUUGGAUCCUUUAACUGGUGCGACUGUCCACCGUAUUGGUGUAAUAUUGGUACUUGUGAAAUUAGUGGACGCACCAAUAUAUUGGUCGAAUUGGGUUGUGACGGUGACGCUUCGUCCAAUAAUGGAGCAGAUUUUGGUAUUGAUCUGUUGACCAGGGCUGGUAUCGAUUUCUCCAAUAUUUGGAUUGGUUCUUUGCCUUUUUGCUGAUUUCUUGUCAAUACUACGUGAAUCGCUUCCAUCCGAUGUAUCGGUGAUUCCUGUGGUUUGUUUGUUUCUUCUAUAAUUUGCACUGUUGAUGUCAUGUGCUGGUCCCUACUAUUUGGAUUAAAAGGUACAUUACAUUAGUAGUGGUAAUGACCAGAUUGCUUACAAUUUGUGUAAAGAGGUGCGUAUUCUUCGAUAAAUCUUGGGUUGUUGCAAUCACUUGCAUAAUGACCCAAUUGGCGGCAUCGAAAACAACGAACUGGUUUUUUUCUUAUCCCGUCAGGUACAUUGGGAGUCUCCGUUGGGACAUACCUUCCAGGUCGGUUCCAUGUUGGUACAGUAAAGGAUCCAGGUUGACUAGUUGUCGCCAUUGGUGAAUUGGUCUGUUGUAUUGGCAUCGAUGGUUGAUUUCCCAUUUGAUUUUGGCCACCAUUCUGCAUAUUGGUCCCAUAGGGCUGAUUAUAGUUAGGAUUUUGGAAAUUUCUAAAACCACGAUUUACUCUAUUAUUUCUAUUUCCAUUUCAUCCACCCGUAUUUCCUGUUUGCACUUGAUUUACAUCCCAUACAAUUGGUUGUAUCAUUGUUUGUUGUUUUGGUAAGUACCAACAAUUGGCAGUGUUAUGCUUUCCUCCACAAUACAUACACUGUCCCAUCUUCUGAUGAGCCAAGGGGCAUUCCGUAUCAAAGUGUCCCUGCCCUUUACAGUUGUUACACCAUACAUUAGGUCUCAUAUUAGAAGGUUUAUGCCUUUUCUCUUUAUCUUUAGUCAUAUGCACGGCUAAUUCUUCCAUUUUCUUCAUUAGAUUUAAUAAUAGAGCUUCGUUAGAAUCGUUAAUUGUUGCAUUCAUCGGUACUUCAGGUUGUCGAUAUGCCAUCGGUGAAGGAUAAGUUGCCACGGGUGAUAUCGCCUGCAAAGGAGUGGCAUUAACUACUCCUUGAGAAUUGGGAUUUCCCAUACUAGGCGCAAUCAUUCGUGGGUAGCUCCCUAUCAUCGUAUUCGUCAUUGGAACUUGAUUUCCUAUACUAGGAAUCAUUGUGGUUCCCACCAUCAACAGUUGAUCAUAAUGGCACUCCUCCCACACCUUUGCACGUGCUAAGGAGGCAGCUACCGUAACUGGUUGAGACUCCUUAACAAACAUCUUCAAUUCUGGGGGAUGCAACCCAUUCACUAUUAUUGACAAUAUAAACGCGUCUGGCAUUUGAUUGUUUGGCCAUUUACGUAAUAUAUCUGCAACUCGGCCAUAAUACGACUGCACCGAUUCUCCCACAAAUAUUUUACUGUUCAGCAAAUUUUCUCGAAGACGAUCUUCGAAUCCUAUUGGUCGAAAAUGAGUUAAGAAAGCAUUUUUCAAUGCUUCCCAAUUAGGAAAUUGUCCCACUGGUUGUCGAAUAUACCAUUCAAACGCUGUAUCUUUUAAGGUCACUGGUAGCCAUCGCAACCAGACAUAUUCAGUUCUGCCAUUAUUAGCUACACACGCUGUCAAAAAUUGGGACAUGUGUUGAUCGGGAUCAGAACUUAGCCAUCCAUUAAACGUGGGUAAUGGAGCCACGCUAGUGGUGCGAUCUCCAAUUGCUCCCAUCUGUACCGCUAUUGGCACUACGGGUGCUUCUUCUGCCAUUGGUGCUUGCGCUGGUCUUCUUGCUAUAUUAAUAUGAAUUCUUCUUUUUGUUCCAAUUUGAUAUUUGUUCACUCUUCUUUCUUGUAAACUAUCGCUAUUAUUCAUUUCUUUUGUACUUAAACUUCUUAUAAUUACUGAACUUGACUCUGACGCUUCGUUACUCGCGGUAUCCCCUACAAGCGCUCGCGGUAAUUUCUCCAAUGGUAUAUAAUGGUGUAAUAUUGCACUUCUUUCAGAACUUGGAUAUGCUCGAAUACUCGCACAUGCAUGCAGCCACGGCUUUAUCCAACUCCAUCGACGUUUCUUAUGUUGAAUCCCUUCUUGUUGUUGUCGUAAUAAAUUUCUGAAAUAAAAUCGCUCCUGUCUUUCUUUUACUUGUUGAUUCCUUCUGUGAUUAUCAUAGUCGUAAUCACCACUCAUACUCCUUCGAUCUCGUCUUUUGUACCAUCAAUUCUUUAACAUUUCAUACUGUUGUCAAUCCCCGGAAGCGGCGCCAAAAAUGUAAUUGUCGUUUGACUCGGACUCAAAACACCAAGAUAUUUGAUCAGUAUAGGUGGGUUCGAUCUCGGGGAAAGACUCGUUGUAUGAAUUGGAUAUGUUAUGUCACAAUUGAUUAUGUAUUAAUUAUCUAAAACUUCCAAAGUUCUCUUCCUCAUCUCAAUUCAAUCCCUUCACAAUCUCUACAAUCGUUCACUGCCCUGCAGCUACUCAAUAUCACUGACAUUCCUGACAUCUACAGGAUGCUUAAUCUCUUUCCACAGUACUUCAAUUCUCAAUUCCUUUACUUUUAUUCAAUCUUCCAGUGCUACUAUCACAAUGCAAUAAUCUCUAUUAUCACAAUCACACUUUCUUUCUCCAAAUUAAUUAAUUCGAAUUCAUAAUUUUCAAUAUCUCAAUCACAGUUUCAGCAAUCCUUUUCUUAAAUCUAAUACUAAAGAAAAACACAAAAACAAAGAAAACAAAAGGGUAGCUCCAAGCUUUACCCUAGCUCACGACUAUCACAGUCUGGCCCCCAUUCCUUCUUCCUCAACCUCUUUAUCCUACCAAAAUAUGAAUCGUCAUUCAGCAGAUUCCAUAGAUUGUAAAACUUUGGCUUCUUAACCGCAUAUGUUCCUAACUUCCUACUAUUAACAACUAAUCAAACUAACCAUUCAUCUAAAUUCCAACAUUACUACUAUUUAAUCGAUAACGAACCAAAAAAGUUAUUUAUACAUUCUACACCCACACGUAGAAAAACUUGCCUUGUAAGUCAAGGCAUGUGCCCUACAAAGUCAACACAUAUUGGAGGUCCUAUAGAACGUCGCCACGUAGCUCUUAGUUAGAUAGUAUAUAUAGAGACAAGAGUGAAGGCUUCUUCACUCUUGUCAACUCCUUUCUUGCUUCCAGUCUAGUUUCAAGGGUCUCUAGUUUUGUUGUCUUUUGGCAAUAGCCAUUCCAGUUUCUCUUUCAAUAUACAUAUUUGUUUAUUUAUAUUUUUUUACCUUUUUUUUUGAGUGAAGGCUCACUUGUUUGAAUUCCUUUUUCAUCGAGUUCUUGUCCUUGACAGCACCUCCUCUUGCACAUUUGACUUAUAAAGACAAAUUUGAGUGAAGUAAUGAAGCCAAAAUAUUAUUUGAUGCUUUGAAGAAGGAAUUUAUUUAUAUACCAAUCUAUUAUUGUGUCAACUUUUUGAAGGUAUUUUUUAUAUAAAUAAAUGUAUCAAACUUUAUUUGAGAUGUAGUAUUGUCAAAAUUGGGAGCAUAUCAUAAAUUCCAUCUAAUAGCUUUUUAAUCCAAGAAAUUUUCAGCAACAAAGAUCAAUUACAAAAUCUAUGAUAAAAAACUUUCUGGAAUUUUUGAUUCUUUUAAAAAUGGCAUGAUUAUUUAAAAAGCACUUUUAAUCUAAUCACGAUGUAUACAUAUCAUAAGAAUUUCAAGUACUUUAUAUCAAUACAACUCUUGAAUUAUACCUAGAUUUGUUGCAUCAUGUCAUUAUCAAUAUUUUAUUUUAAGAUAACAUAUCAAGUUGAAAAACAACAAGGUUUAUCAAAUGCACUUUUUAAACAUUCUUAUUUUGUACCAAAAGAAAAAAAAUGGAGCUUUUGAUCAACAAAGAAUAUUUAUCUUGAAGCUUGAGUAAUUUCAUCUCCAAAUGAUAAAAUCAAUAUUGACUGUUGAUUCAAUCUUUAUCAAGAAAAUUCAAUCAAGUAUGUCCUUUAAUCCUCUUGUUCAUGAUAUCACAAAUAGUUCUUCUAAGUCUCAUGAUACUUCCAAGUUAAAGUUUAAGAAAAACCUAUUCUAUUUCAAAGAUCACCAAUAUAUUCUAAUAAGAGAAACAUGUCUACGUGUUCUUCAAUUAAGUCAUAAUUUUUUAGUAGCAUGAUAUUUUGGAUACAAUAAGAUUUUGGACCUUAUAUCUAGAGAUUUUUGGUGGUUGCAAGUAAGGAAGGCAGUGAAAUACUUUAUAUGGUCAUGUGACAUUUGUUCAAGAUCAAAAAUUCUUUGUCAUUAAUCCUAUAGACUUCUCAAAUCUUUGUGUCUAUUGGAACAAGUAUGGUCUUCUAUUUCUAUGGAUUUUAUUAUAGAUAUUCUAAGUUUAAAUUCAUGUGACUUUAUAUUCGUAAUUGUAGAUUGCUUCACCUAAAUAAUAAAUUUUGUAUUAUAUACAAAAUCUAUUUCAAGUGAAGAAAUAGUUAAGCUAUUCUUUGAUAAUAUCUAUCACUAUCAUCAAUUAUCAAAUGAUAUUAUAUCAAUUAGAGAGAUACAAUUUAUAUGAAGAUUUUGAAAAAUUAUUUUAAAAAUAUUAAAGGUAGACAUAAAAUUAUCUUUGGCCUUUCAUCCUAAAAUUGAUAAAAAAAAAACAAGAUAGGUGAAUCAAGUUCUAAAGCAAUAUUUAAAGUAUACCAUCAACUAUCAUCAAGAUGUUUGAACAAUUCUUUUGCCAUUGGUAGACAUUACAUAUAAUAAUUCGAUACAUUCUUCUACUCAAUAAACACUUUUUUUUGCCAAUUAUGGUUAUCAUCUAUGACUUCAUACUUUUGACUUUUUAAAUGUUAAUAAUCUUACAACAAAAGAUUUCACAAAUCAUUUGUCAAAGCUACAUGUAAUAAUGAAGGCGUAAUUAAAAGAAGCUCAAGAAUGACAAAAGAUCAAUGUGGAUGCCUAUUGCAAGGAGCAACCAUAAUUCAAUGUAGAUAACAAGAUAUGAUUAUUUUGUUGUAAUAUUAAGACUACUUAUCUUUAUGAUAAGUUGAACUAUCAUAGGCUUAGACCUUUUUUUAUUUGUGAAUAAGUCAAUUAUGUUAUUUAUUAAUUGUAUCUACCAAAAUCUAUGAAAAUCUAUCCUAUAUUCUAUAUAUUUCUUUUUGAGCCAUAUAAGAUAGUAAAUAUGUCAAGAAGAAGACAAAUGCCAUCUCUUCUUACAAAAAUGGAUAACAAUCAAGAAUUUGAUGUAGAAGAAGUCUUAGAUUCAAGGUGCUACAAAAAUAGAUUAAAAUAUCUUAUUCAUUGGCACAAAUAUGAGUUUAAUGAAUGCACAUGGGAGCCAACAAAGAAUCUUCCAAAUGCAGCAAAGAAAAUUAAGACUUUUCAUCGACAAUCUAUCAAAAUCAAGUUAAAAAUAAUAAAUUCUAUAAAAGAUGAUAAUUGCUCUUCAUACAACUCGUUCCUAGAAGGAGAAGAUAAUAUUACAAACAUACAUAUUUAUUCCAAUAAUUUCUUAUAUAACUAUGUAGAUAUAAAAUAAAAUAAAAAAUUCAUAAUAUCGUCUAAUAGAGCUUCCCAAAAGCUUCAUAGAUGCAAUUUUGACUUUGCACUUCUUUGUAGUUGAUUAGUAGGUUAGAAACUUGAUCAAUAAGUUAAUCAUGUGUGACACAUAUUCAUAACUUAUAGAAUAAGCUAACUAUGUAGCAUACAUAUACAAAACUUGCCUUGCAAGCUAUGAUAUGUAUCUUACGAAGUCAACUUGUAUUGGAGGUCCUAUAGAACAUUGCCACAUAACUUUUAGUUAGAUAGUAUAUAUGGAGGCUAGAGUGAAGCCUCCUACACUCAUGUCAAUGUCUUUUUAGUUCUUAGUCUUAUUUCAAGACUUUCUAGUCCUUUUGUUUUUGGCAACAAUGAUUCUAGUUCAAUAUAUUACCAUCUUUGAAUGACACAAGAGUGUAGAGAUUUUUCUUUUCUUUUUCUUUUUUUUUUUUUUUUUUUUGAGAUUCAUGUCCUUGACAAGAGGACAAAGAUGGAAAUGGAUGGAAGUAAUCAUUUUGGAGCAAGGGGGUGUGAAAAAAUUGGGGGAAAAAAGAAGAAGAAAAGAUCCCUUCUACAUGUGCUAAAAAUAAAAUAAAAUAAACAAUAAAUAAUAAUAAUAAUAAAUAUAAAUAAAAAACAAGGUUAUACAAUACACUUGACUUCAGCCCAUUGCAAUAACAGGCACUAAGGGGAGUUCGAAGGACGAGCGAUGCCAGCUCAGCAACCGAGUGCCAGCCUGGACAGAGUGACGUGUAAAGUGGCUGAGCUGGACCAAAAGGAGGAAGACCACAAGCCUCCUUUCUGACUCUCUGCAAAAGACAGCAGCGCGACAGCCACACGGAAAAGGUAAAGGAGAGGAGGAAGGAUCAGGGAAGGCGGGAAAGGGAAUUGGAAGGAAAGGCAAAAAGUGAAAGGAAGGGAGGGCAGGGGGGUCGGUUGCUUGGGAUGCUGUUGUCAGAAGCCUGAACCUCCUUCCGUCAGUCCGUCCGUCCGUACGUCUAUCCUUCCAUCCGUCCAUUUGUCCUUGUGUUCCGUCCAUUCGUCCUUUUCGUCCGUCCAUGAAAUGCUACCUGCCCCUGUACUGCCCUCCCACCUUCCAGUUGGCCAGUACAUGUGCUUUAUCCGAUGUCGUCAUCCCCAUCCAUAAUGUCCUCCUUCAGGUGUGAACAUGCCAAAGGAAAACGUUUAUCUUUUACUUUUACUUUUUUUAAAAUCCAUUUUCGAUAUUUCAAUUGGCCUUCUAAAUACAUGAGUUGAGCAAUAUUUGGGGUGGGUAUGGGUUCUAUUUUUUUAUACGGAAAAAAACAUGGAUUUCUUCUGAAGAGAUUCAUCCAACGGAUGUCAUCUUGGGUUUUCAUCCAUUUGUUUGUUUUUUUUUGUUUUUUUUUUUUUUAAUAUUAAUUGAAGGCUUUGAACACAUUUUUAUAUGUUUUUGGUGGGAAUUGUGUCAAUAGGCAUUGUCCAAUGAACAUGUUUGACAUGUGUUGAUAGUUAAGUGUUAAGUGGCAUUUAUUCUUCAAUUUAGUUUCAAAGCACAAACACA
rnacentral:lncRNA from 1 species